GGGAGAUGAGGAGUGGUAAAAUUUCGCUAUUUUUUACUGCGAGAGGGGUGCCCGCCCCAGCCAAGCCUGUUACGAUAAAUGGGGCAUCCCCGUUUCUACCAUCUGAUCCC
rfam:Oryza brachyantha chromosome 5, whole genome shotgun sequence.